rnacentral:rRNA from 1 species
AAGUAAAAAACCAACUGCGCCUUCGGGGCGACCGGUGAUUACAUAAUAACUUAACGAAUCGCAUGGCCUUGCGCCGGCGAUGGUUCAUAUACAAAUUUCUGCCCUAUCAACUUUCGAUGGUAGGAUAGUGGCCUACCAUGGUGGCAACGGGUAACGGGGAAUUAGGGUUCGAUUCCGGAGAGGGAGCCUGAGAAACGGCUACCACAUCCAAGGAAGGCAGCAGGCGCGCAAAUUACCCAAUCCCGACACGGGGAGGUAGUGACAAUAAAUACUGAUACGGGGCUCUUUUGGGUCUCGUAAUUGGAAUGAGUACAAUCUAAAUCCCUUAACGAGGAACAAUUGGAGGGCAAGUCUGGUGCCAGCAGCCGCGGUAAUUCCAGCUCCAAUAGCGUAUAUUAAAGUUGUUGCAGUUAAAAAGCUCGUAGUUGAACCUUGGGUCUGGCUGGCCGGUCCGCCUCACCGCGAGUACUGGUCCGGCUGGACCUUUCCUUUUGUUUUUAUCUCAUGGCCUUCACUGGCUGUGGGGGGAACCAGGACUUUUACAAAGUUUUUUUAACAAAAAAAAAAAAAAAAAACCGCUCCUCCCCUUCGAGCCCCCCCCCCCUUAUAUUAAAAAUAAUUUAAAAAUACGGGGGGUGUCGCCGGGGGGGUUCAUUUUUUCUGUUCUCUCCGGGGGGAA